UUUAGAUCUUCUCCUGCAAUAAUGCAAGCCCCGGUGCAUUUGCCACCUUCCUUGUAUUAUAAAAUUUUAUCACUUAUAUGCUGCAUUAGGUGAUAGGAGUUGAAUGAUUAAACACUUGAUGCAUUACCAUCCUUGAAAGAUUGAUUAUCAUACCUUGUUACCUGUUUUAUAAAAACUAGUAAUGCUUAGUCAUGCUUAUAGAUUAAGAAAAAUAUUUUUGAUCUAUGACUCAUGAUUUUUAAAAAAGGAAAAGGGCUUGGGAUGAUGGAGGCAUCCUCCGCGGGGAUGAAUUCAUCAUUCAAACAGGGUACCUCUGUCAGGUAUCAAACUUUGAGAAUUUGUUUAAAAUGAGACCAGACGUUGAGCUGGACAGGUCGCCCGUCUGUGUCAAUCAAGGACCGUACCGAUUGUAGGCCUGUUGAUCUAGGACCUUUUAACUGGCCACAUACCUCGUCAUGGGUAAGCCUGAACCCGGCUACUCCCAUAUGUGAAAAGACAAUUGCGCACUGGGAGUGGAGAGAUGGCGGGAGUGGCGUGUACCCACCUGGCACGUGGCUGGAUGGUGGAGUAUCGUACUCUCGGGUGGCGCGGACCUGUUCACGUAGUGGAAGACACGUGGGAAUGGUAGACAUAUGCAAGGGUUAAGUGCUACAUAUGUCGUGUGGCUGGAGAUCCCCAGCUGGGUAUUAAUCGAUUCGAAUCGCCGUUACUUCUCGGUCAUGAAGACUGGAUCACUGCUCUGCAUCAUAGAUAACAAGUAUAACAGAGUUUUGGUUAAAAGCAAUCUAGUGUAGGCCAAGUGAAUGAUCUAGAUUAGGAAAAUCUAGAGACAGGUUAGUAGAUUCAGGUAAUAACCUAACUUGUGAAAUAAAACUUGGCUUAAGGAUCCAUUAUUAGUAAGCUUUUAUGCAAAAAGGAGUCAUUGAUAAUUGAUGAGCUUUUCCCUUGAUUCCCCAAAAGCUAGCAUGCCCUUGAGAGUCUUUUCCUUAGUCGGGUAAGUCUUGCUGAGUAAUUGCCUACUCAGGGUUUUAUUCCCUAUGUUGUUGCAGGAAAGAUUUUUGAUGCCUUGGCUUUAUUAGUUGCUCCUUAUGGAGGUCUUGAAGCUUAGAUUACUUAUGUGAAUCUUUUAUGGAAAGGCUUCACCUUUCCAAGUAUUGUAGUUAAGUUAUGCACUCUAAAGACUAUCAGGACUUGUAAUAAUUUCAUUCCCUUUUAUGUUGUAAGACUUGAGUUCUAGAAUGCAAAGUGUA
rnacentral:lncRNA from 1 species